rnacentral:rRNA from 1 species
AUUGAACGCUGGCGGCAGGCCUAACACAUGCAAGUCGAACGAGCGGCGGACGGGUGAGUAAUGUAUGGGGAACUGCCUGAUGGAGGGGGAUAAAUACUGGAAACGGUAGCUAAUACCGCAUACCCUCAGAUGAACACAUAUGGGAUUAGCUGGUGGGUGAGGUAACGGCUCACCGAGGCGACGAUCCCUAGCUGGUCUGAGAGGAUGAUCAGCCACACUGGGACUGAGACACGGCCCAGACUCCUACGUGAGGCAGCAGUGGGGAAUAUUGCACAAUGGGCGCAAGCCUGAUGCAGCCAUGCCGCGUGUAUGAAGAAGGCCUUCGGGUUGUAAAGUACUUUCAGUCGGGAGGCGUUACCGACAGAAGAAGCACCGGCUAACUCCGUGCCAGCAGCCGCGGUAAUUC